GACGAACGCUGGCGGCGUGCUUAACACAUGCAAGUCGAACGGUGAAGCGCCUUCCUUUUUGGUGGGUGUGGAUGAGUGGCGAACGGGUGAGUAACACGUGAGUAACCUGCCCCCUUCUUCUGGAUAACCGCAUGAAAGUGUGGCUAAUACGGGAUAUUCUGGGUCUGUCGUAUGAUGGGUCUGGGAAAGAUAUUGUUUCGGUGGGGGAUGGGCUCGCGGCCUAUCAGCUUGUUGGUGGGGUGAUGGCCUACCAAGGCGGUGACGGGUAGCCGGCCUGAGAGGGUGGACGGUCACACUGGGACGGAGACACGGCCCAGACUCCGACGGGAGGCAGCAGUGGGGAAUAUUGCACAAUGGGCGCAAGCCUGAUGCAGCGACGCCGCGUGAGGGAUGGAGGCCUUCGGGUUGUGAACCUCUUUCGCCAGUGAAGCAGGCCUGCCUCGUUUGUGGGUGGGUUGACGGUAGCUGGAUAAGAAGCGCCGGCUAACUACGUG
rnacentral:rRNA from 1 species